AUAGAAAUAUUCUGUAUUUGUGACACCUGUGCUGAUGUGCAUAACUUGAAAUUGGAGAUCUGAUCACAUGCCACUUGUUGAUUUAACAUUUAAAGCAAUUUGAAUCUCACUCAGUGUAAACUACUGAGCCAGUUUUUGUAUUUGAGAAAGUUUGCUGGCCAAGGUGGAAAUGAGAUCAGCAACUAAAGACAAACUGGCUAGCUGGCAGAUAAAGAGGAUUUCAGUGAUUGGUUCCUUCUGAGAUUUUCAAAUGGACUCUUUGAUUUGAGCAGAAUGUUAAGUUAUAUAUACUUUGGAAAAGACUGCCUGGAUUUCGAAUAACCCUACUGCUCAAAUUUGAAAAGGAAAAAGCAGUGAUACACUAACUGAUCUAAUUACACUCCAUUCAUUUAGUUUGAAUUUAUUCGUCUUGCUGUUCAAACUUGUAGCAUUGUGUGGAAAUAAGCCUGAUGUGGGAAACUGAACUUUUCAAUUGCAUAUGUACUGUGAUUGGGUUUAAAUGAACAACUGUCAAAGCCAGAACUAGACAAAAAUUCUUUCUUGUCAAGGAGAAUGAACGAUAAAGGUUUGGAUGUGGCAGGUUUGAGGGUGGAGGUUAGGACCUAUGGAAUGGGACAUGAAAUACCCUUGGUCUUUUUGGACCAAAAGUUGACGGGCCUCACCCUCAGCAAGUUCUUCCCUGCCAAUUUCCCUACCCGUCCACUGAAGGGCACUCCAGACCGCUGUCCUCAUCAGUGUAUUACUUUCUUGAUGAUCCUUCCUUGUGCUUAAAACAGAGUUGUAUUUAUAUAAUGCCUUUUACCACAGGACAUCCAAAAUCACUUCAGUCAAUUAAAUGCUUUUGAGCGUUGUCGCUGAUGUAAUGUAGGAAACAUGGUAGCCAAUUUAUACACAGCAAACUCCCACAAACAGCAAUGUGCUAAUCACCAAAUCAUCUUUUUUAGUGAUAUUGGUUGAAGGAUCAAUGUUGGCUGAGACACUGGGGAUAACUCCCUUGAUUGUUUUGGGAGAAUGCCAUGGGAUGAGAGGGCAGACAAGGUCUCAGUUUAACAUCUCAUCCAAAAGGUGCUGCACUUUCUUAGUUCUGCACAGAAAGUGCUGCCCUAAGAUGUGUGUUCAAAACUCUUUUACUGGGACAAAACAUUAAGAAUUCAAUCUCUAGAUUAUUUCAAGGUCUUUUGGGAUAAAUCAAAGAAACUCAUAAAUCCUUACUAAAGAUGAAGUAGACAUUUCCUUGGGGUGAUCCAAGUUGGAAAUGAUUCACUAUGGAAAUUUCUGCAAACUCUAUAAAUCUCAGCCACGAUUCAGCAGAUAGCACUCUCCCUCUGAGUGAAAUGCUCGUGAAUUCAAGCCCCACUCCAGGGACUUGGGGUACAUUAUUUAGGCUGACACUUCUGUGCAGUACUGAGGGAGUGUUGUAUAGUUGGAAGUGGCAUCUUUUGAAUGGAACAUUAAACUAAGGCCCUGUCUGCUCCCUCAGGUGGAUGUAAUACCUCCCGUGGCACUAUUUCAUGGACGAGCAGGGGAGUUCUCCCCAGUGUCCUGAUCAAUGUUUAUCCUUUUAUCAGCAGCACAUAAGGAUUAUCUCAUCAUUAUCUCAUGCUGUUUGUGGAAGUUUACUGUCAUAGUUCCUAUAUUACAACAGUGAUCACACUUCUGAAGCAUUUCACUGGUAAAGUGCUUUGAGACAUCCCAAUGUCAUGAAAGAUUCAUAAUAGUGAGGAGGUCCUGUAAACUGUACAUGUUCAAAGUUCUCCUAAUGUUUUAGAGAAAAUAUUCCAUCAAAACCUAUAGUCCUGAGUCUUCUGAGGUCUUAAAGACAUUAAGGAGGAUAUGACAAAGACACCUAAACUGUUCAUUGGAUAAAUAUGAAAUGUGCAGUCUUCCAUUUUAUUUAUUUAUUUUAGAGAUUAGAAAUUUCAGACACUGAGGAAAACUUUCUAGACAGAUUUUCAAAUGUUUUGUCAUUCAAUUGGUUCACUAUUUUAAAAGAAAACCUAUUAGUAGAUUCCUCUAAAUAGUCGUUCAGGAUUGCUUGUUUUUGUUGCUGCAUCUUGUAUAUGGGGGACACUGCUGCCACUGUUGGUGGAGGAGGGAGUGAAUGUUUAAGGUGGUGGAUAUGGGGUGCCAAUCAUAUUGGCACUUGGGAUUUCCCAUUGCAGCUUUAUUUUUUUCAUGUGAUUUGAGUUUCACCAACAAGGCCUACAUUUAUUUCUCAACCCUAAUUGCCCUUGAGAACUGCCACCUGGAAUCGCUGCAGUCCAGUGCUGUUAG